UACAGAGGUGGCAAGCGUUGUUCGGAAUUACUGGGCGUAAAGGGCGCGUAGGCGGUUCGGUAAGUCCUGUGUGAAAUCCCUCGGCUCAACCUCGGAACUGCCUUCGAUACUGCGGGUCUCGAGUCCGGGAGAGGUGAGUGGAAUUCCUGGUGUAGCGGUGGAAUGCGCAGAUAUCAGGAGGAACACCAAUAGCGAAGGCAGCUCGCUGGGACGUUACUGACACUGAGGCGCGAAAGCGUGGGGAGCGAACAGG
rnacentral:rRNA from 1 species